CCCUAAUUUCCUACUUAAAUCUUCUCCCUUUCUUUUUUUUUUUUAUAAAAAAUAGCGACGCUACAGUCGCUUCUCGGGACACUGUCGCUUCACGCAACACAGAGAGAGGCGACCACUAUUUUGUAUCGUAACGCAACAGCUGCUCUGAAGCGACACACCCUCGCCUCGCAUCGCUACAUGCUUUUUGCGCUAUAACGAGUGCUAUUUAUUACAAUGCCUACUUGUUAUGGUUCAUUAGUUUUAGAAUGACAAUUAUCAUAAUACCUUGUUUUAAUUAUCGACAUCUGUUGGUUUUUCUUACUUUUUAUAUUUGAGUCAUUCGAUUUAUUGUUGUGGUCUUAAUAUAUUCUUCUUUAGUUAUUUUCUUUAUGUUUCCUUUUCUGAGAGGCCGAUAUAUAUAGUAUACAUCUAUGAAAUACAGUACUACUUACAACAUGUAGUACAUUUAUCAAGUAGUAAGAUACAUAAUUCUUUUUAUCAAGAUUUAGACAUCAGUUUGUUAAGCUAUUUUUUUAUUUUAUAAAAGCAAGAUUUAGAGCAUCGGUAGUAAGUAUAUGAUAGCCAAUUGUUUAAUUGACAUUCUGUGCAACAAAAGCAUCUCUACUUCAAUAAUCUAGAGGCUCUUUAUUAAUAUUUGCUUUUGCUGUGUAUUGUAUUUUAUUUUGGUAUAAUUUUGAACAAUCACUAGAUUUUCUAUAAGCAUUAUACUUUUUGAACUUUGUGUAUGCUUUGAAUAGAAAUCCUCUUUAACUCAUUCAAUCUAAUCGAUUACAAAUGAAUUGAAUGAGUUAAAGAAAAUUUGUAUUCAAACUAUACCCAAAAGGCAAGAUGCUCAUAGAAUAUCUAGUGUAGUUCCUUAAUAGUAGAGAGAAGAAUUCAGGACAUUGUCUCUGUUUUUUCAAUUUAAGAGUGAAUUGACCAAUUUCAUUUCAAAUUUACACUACAAAAUAGUGUUCUAUUGAGAAAGUGAAGGACACUAAGCAAUUUCAAUACAUAUUCGAGUUAUAUGUAUUGAAAGUCAAGGGUCAAGUCUUUGAAUGUCAGUUUCAUAUUGGAAACUCUCCUCCUCCUCCUCCUCAUCAUCAUCAUCAUCAUCAUCAUCCUCCUCCUUCUCCUCCUCCUUUCUCUACGUUACUAUUUCUUUCCUUCUUUCUGUGCGUUACUGCUGCUAUUUAUCUCAUUGUUGCAUAUAUUCUUCUCAUAUUCUGAUAGACAUGUGUGAAGAAAGACCUUCAAAGCCCAAAAGAAAGACAAGUGCGACAUAUGCAAAACCUAGAACAAUGGCAUCUUUGGAAAAUCAAAUAACGAGUUUGUUUAGCCAAAAUAUGGUGUUCCAGCUAGACAAUCAAAGAAAGAGCUUUCGAAUAUUAUUGAAGAGAAUAUACCACAGUAUCCAGGAGUAGUAGCCCAUGUACAAACUAGAUCAAUCACUUUUGCAAAAUAUGUUGUUCCUGCUAAACAAUUAAACAAAGAGCGUCUGAAUAUCAUUGAAGAGAAUCUGCUACUGCCACAAUAUUCAGGAGUAGCAGCCCAUGUACAAACUAGAUCAACUACUCCUACCACAAAGUAAUAGAUGAACAAGUGGAGAAACAAGUUCAGUUGGAUUCUACAACUCCUACUGUAGAUGAACAAGGCCCUUCUAUCAACCAAGAAAAAGAGAUAGAACAAAGAUGAAAAGUGUACAUGGACGCCAUGAGCGUAAAGUGAUUUUACUUAACAACUUAAAUCAACCCGUUGGUCCUAGUGAUGAAGUUGUGAUAGAGUUUGGAAGAUUCCUCGGCAUAUUGGCAAGGAAUGCGACUCUAUGUCCUCUUGAUAUUUUGGAUUGGAGGAAGAUGGACACAAAAGAGGAUAUAUGUAAAUAUACCAAGGUCUGAACUUCUUAAUUUUCAAUUUUUAGUUAAAAAUCUCAUAUCUUCUGCACUAAUAUAUUUGACAUCAAUUGUAGCAUAAAUAUGAUAUUCCUGAAGCUAGAAAAAAAUAUACUUUAGACUCAGUACAAAUUGCCUGGAGAAAGCACAAGAGUAGAUUGAAAAAAGAUCACUUUCACGCAUAUCACAAUGAUGAAACUUGACUGCAAAAUAUCCCUGAAGAUGUUCCAGCUUCUCAGUUUAAGAAACUCCUUAGGUAUUGGAACUCACAGAAACUCCAGAGAAUAUCCCAAAUUAAUAUUGAUUACCGAAAAAAGUUGAAGAAUCCUCACACUACUGGAAAAAGAAGUUUUGCUUUAGUUCGCUCUAAGUUGGAAAAUGAUAAGAAAACUUCGGAUUCUUUAUCAACAAAGAAAGUCUUUGUAACUACACGAAAAAGGAAAGAUGGGCGAUCAUACAAGUGCUCGGAUGAAGACACAACUAGUAAAAUUGCUGAAAUGGAUGAAAUUGAAGCACAACAAAACGAAAAUGGCAAUGAGUCUGCAGAUGCAUUUGCAUCUGUCAUAGGGUCUGAACAUCCGGGACAUCUGAGAUAGUAUAGAUGAGGGGUUACAAGAACUUCUUUGAGAGAGAAAGUAGGAUGUUUUGAAUACUAUUCAAAGACUACAAAUUAUCUACAAAAAAUGGACGAGAAGAUACAAAGAAUGGAGGAACAAUUUGAGGAACAAAAGGCAACAAUCCGUCAAGAAGUUGUUGCAGAUGUACUUGCAGGACAUCAGCAUUCUGGAAUUGAUAUUGAUGCUAACAUUGUUCUAGCGGCAUUGGGUGAUAAUUCUCAGUGAGAAGCUUCUUCUGCACAGCAGCUACUUUGGAACCAAUCCGUCGUCCAUCUACUGAUAGCAACAAAGAAGGCCAACUCAUUCCAGGUGCAGCGAUUGCGGAUGAAAGCAGUGACGAAGACCUUACUUGAGUGUUGUUGAUCGUUGUUAGACUUUCUAUUAUUAUGUUUUAGGAUAUUUUAGUUUAGAACUUUUUGUAGGCAAACUCAUCUGUUUUGACUUUUGAAUUGUUGACCAAACAAUGUAUCCAUAUUUUAUUUUUGUACAUGGAUAAUGCUAGUUGGAUAUGGUGUAAACAAUUUCAUAGAAUAGGAAAAUAUUUCUCA